rnacentral:tRNA from 1 species
CUCUAAGAAGCUUGCCAUUAGCACUAGCCUUUUAAGUUAGAAAAGGGGACCCAACCCCUCCCCCUUGGAGA